rnacentral:rRNA from 1 species
UACGGAGGGGGCGAGCGUUAUUCGGAAUUAUUGGGCGUAAAGGGCGCGUAGGCGGCUGGGUAAGUCAAAGGUGAAAUCCCUCGGCUUAACCGAGGAACUGCCCUCCAAACUGCUUGGCUUGAGUCCGGGAGAGGUGAGUGGAAUUCCCAGUGUAGCGGUGAAAUGCGUAGAUAUUGGGAGGAACACCAGUGGCGAAGGCGGCUCACUGGACCGGAACUGACGCUGAGGCGCGAAAGCGUGAGGAGCAAACGGG